CUCCACAGGACUUUAUUUUAGGGGAAAGUCUGAAAGGAGAGCAGCUACUUGGGAUAUUUUGCUUACAAAUGGAACACAUCAAAUCAAGCUUUUGUGAACUUGAGGGAAGAAACAAAGAAUAUGAAGCCUAAAUGGAAGUGUCAGGAAAUGGUCGCCUUGCGGACAAGGAAACAGCAGCCUGGAAGGCCAGGAGAGGGCAGACUACCCACCUAACCCUCUGCAGAAUUUUGUGUGGACCCUGGAGACCAGAAACUAACUUCUCCUGCAGGGUUUAGGCUGCCGCCAAGAAGACUGCUACUGUUAUCAUACUGAACAGAUGCUGCCAACUCUUAAGCUC
rnacentral:lncRNA from 1 species